UACAGAGGGUGCGAGCGUUGUUCGGAAUCACUGGGCGUAAAGCGCGUGUAGGCGGUCUGGUUAGUCGGAUGUGAAAGCCCUGGGCUCAACCUAGGAACUGCAUCCGAUACUGCCAGACUAGAGUUCUGGAGGGGGUGGUGGAAUUCCCGGUGUAGAGGUGAAAUUCGUAGAUAUCGGGAGGAACACCUGUGGCGAAGGCGACCACCUGGACAGAUACUGACGCUGAGACGCGAAAGCGUGGGGAGCAAAC
rnacentral:rRNA from 1 species